UUUCCGUAGGUGAACCUGCGGAAGGAUCAUUACAGAGUUCAUGCCCGAAAGGGUAGACCUCCCACCCUUGUGUAUUAUUACUUUGUUGCUUUGGCGCGCGCAAGCGCGCCAGAGAAUGCCAAAACUCUUUUUAUUAAUGUCGUCUGAGUACUAUAUAAUAGUUAAAACUUUCAACAACGGAUCUCUUUGUUCUGGGAUCGGUGAAGAACGCAGC
rnacentral:misc_RNA from 1 species